GUUGUUGUAGCAGCAUAAACAUUCCCCAUACUUACAUACGGUGAAUGCUGCUGGAGUGACAGUCCUUGGCCGGAUAUAAAUCCGGGUCGUUUCGGUCACGUAGAACCGACUGUCGUGGAGACGAGCUAUUCCUUCUCCUUGUCGUUUCUUCAUAUCGUUAAUAAUAAUUAAACAACCCAAAAUAUACCACAAAAGCAAUUUCUAUGAGGAAAACCCGUUCAAAGCAGUAUUGACAGCUGAUUGUCAAUUUUGCAGAUAAUCUGCCAAUUGUGUGCGGAUUUAUUGGUAAUUAAUGCAUAUUUGAUCGUACUUUUAACAAGAUUACGCCUUACCAAAAUGUGACUUAAUUAUAUCGUCUCCGAGCAGAUUAAAACUCAAUCCACAUGAAAUUCUUCUGUGCGACCUUGAAUUAGCGCCCUCUGUUUGUAAAAACAACCAACACAGUUGAUUCUGACAAUAAUCAAAUGUCAAACCAUUAAACCAAAACGAAACAAAGCGAAAACAUUUUUUGAUAGAAAAAACCUUUCAUUUAAUGAAUAAUAUAAACAAGAGUUUUAUGGAGCGACGCGGCAGAAAUAGGACUCAUGGAAUUGUAGCGGCAGAGAAUGCCAUACUUACGUUCGGACCGAAAAAAAGGGCACGUCUAUGAGGAGGUGGCCAGGGACUUGGGAAGUGUUGGGCAUGUUUACAGUGGAAUGGAGUUGUAGACAAGAACAGUCGAAAAUUUGUACUUUGGGUGUAUCUCCAUCAAAAUGCAAAUACUACAGUGCAGUCAACAAAGCUCUGGACGUUCUCUCUCUUCGAUCUGGACUGGACUGAAGUGUACAUUGAAUGUGAAACAGAUGGAGAAUAAGCAAUAAGCGCACCACUUCCCAGGCCUGCUGCAUCCAAUUCAUCCAUCCGCAUCAGUGAUGGAGAAUAUGGGCGCAAACUUUUUGAAACAAAUAAUGUAAGCGAAAUAAAAGAAGCUUCUGUAGAGUUCCUUCCUCGCCAAUAUUAAUUAGCUGAGUAAUAAACAGCUACAAGAACGAAAGUUUCGAUAUAAACUUAGUCUUAAGUAUAUAUUGUAUUAUAUUGCAUCCUACUGAAUUAAUAUAAAGAUUAACUCAGCAAAAUAAGAAAAAA